CCUUCAUGGAAGAGCUUAUGCAAAGAGCCAGGUCCCGAGACACUUUCGGUGUGUCAGAUGUCAUUUACGACAUGAUCGCUGCCGGCCUCACUCCCGGCCCCAGGUCGUUCCAUGGCCUUGUCGUUGCUCACGUUCUCAACGUCGAUGUUGAAGGUGCGCUGCAAGCAUUGAGAAGGGAAUUGUGUGGGUGUUCGUCCUCUCCAUGAAACGCUUGUUUCAAUGAUUCACCUAUAUGGGUCGAAAGGCCUUGCAACCAGAGGCUUGGAAGUCCUUGCAGCAAUGGAAAAGUUAAACUAUGACAUUCGUCAAGCUUGAUAUUUCUUGUUGAGGAGCUUGUAAGG